CUGGAACCAAACAUCAAAAUCAAGAUUAUUCAUCAACUUGUUUGAUACGAUAACGAUUCUUCUCGCCACCAACUUUGUAUAUGUUUGAUCUGAGAUAUUUAAAGAAAGGAAAUCAAAAGAAAAAGGGUAGGGAAGAAAGAGGAAGAAGAAGAAGAGGAAGAUGAUGAUGAUGAUGAAGUGGAAGAAAGGCAAUGUGAAAAAUUAAAAUCAGCUAGCUUGUACUGUUA
rnacentral:lncRNA from 1 species